AUUGAACGCUGGCGGCAUGCUUUACACAUGCAAGUCGAACGGUAACAGGUUAAGCUGACGAGUGGCGAACGGGUGAGUAAUGCAUCGGAACGUGCCCGGUCGUGGGGGAUAACGCAGCGAAAGCUGCGCUAAUACCGCAUACGAUCUGAGGAUGAAAGCGGGGGACCGUAAGGCCUCGCGCCAUCGGAGCCGCCGAUGUCAGAUUAGGUAGUUGGUGGGGUAAAGGCCCACCAAGCCGACGAUAUUGAGCUGGUCUGAGAGGACGACCAGCCACACUGGGACUGAGACACGGCCCAGACUCCUACGGGAGGCAGCAGUGGGGAAUUUUGGACAAUGAGCGAAAGCCUGAUCCAGCAAUGCCGCGUGCAGGAAGAAGGCCUUCGGGUUGUAAACUGCUUUUGUACGGAGCGAAAAGGUCCUUUCUAAUACAAGGGGCUCAUGACGGUACCGUAAGAAUAAGCACCGGCUAACUACGUGCCAGCCGCCGCCGUAA
rnacentral:rRNA from 1 species